GGGAGAGAGCACAUCUGAUUUGUUCAGGAAAGAGUUGAGACCCCUGCUUAGUCAGAGGGUGAACUUUUCACAAAGAUCCCCUUUUAGGCGUUUGGGCUGUAUAGGACUUGGCUGACUGUGGACAGGAAAUUAGGCUUGUUUUAGCAAGUUUCCAGGCAAAACAAAGCUGGGAAUAAAGGCUUUCAUGAUGGAUAAAAAAACUGAGCCUCAAAUAGAUUUCACUGGACUGGAGUGAUGAGCUGAAGUCAAGAAAAUUAAAUUAUAUCUGUCAGGGACCCAGUGGGAACACAUCACAUUCUCAGAAGGUUUAAUUGAAGAGAGCAUAACGUGGGGGCUAUUUACAGAGGUGAGACAGGGUUAAGGGAACUCACACUGGGUGGUGACAUGCCCAGGGGCCAGCGAAAGUAAGACACUGUGAUCACUCCUAGGCUAGUGCCCUUGUUCCGUAGACCAAAUGUUUGUGUCCACCAAAAAUGCAUAUGUUGAAAUCCUAACCCCCAUCGUGAUGGUGUUAGGAGGUGGGGCCUUUGGGAGGAGAUUAGGUCAGGAGGAUUGAGCCUGUCAUGAAUGGGGUUUAAUGCCCUGAUAAAAAGACAUAAGACAGCUUGCUUUGUCUUGCUUUACUCUCCCCUGUAUGAGGAUACGAGAAGACAGCCAUCUGCAGACCAAGAAGCCAGCAUCACCAGACACCAGAUCUGCUGGCAACUUGAUCUUGGACUUCCUGGACUCCAGAACUUAAGAGGAGGACAGAUACUUUUUCACCACUGCAUCCCAAUACCUAAUGCUUGGCUCCUGGGAGGUGCUCAGAGUGUUCACUGAACAAAGUGCUCCAAAAGCAGCAAGAAGAUACCCUGCAGGGAGUUUCUCAGGGUGCUUUGAAGACUCCAGGUGCUACUCUACUUGUAAAGAGCUCUGAACAGCUUGUGAGGACACAGAAGGUGACCAUCUGCAAGCCAGGAAUAGGGCUCUCACCAGACACCAAACCUGCCAACACUCUGCUCCAGG